GGCUCAGUGGUAGAGCGCUCACCUAGCAUGUGUGAGGCCCUGGGUUCAAUCCUCAG
rnacentral:tRNA from 1 species